rnacentral:rRNA from 1 species
UACGUAGGGGGCAAGCGUUGUCCGGAAUCAUUGGGCGUAAAGCGCGUGUAGGCGGUUCGGUAAGUCUGCUGUGAAAGCCCCGGGCUCAACCUGGGAAUUGCAUUCGAGACUGCGUAGCUAGGGUGCGGAAGAGGGAAGCGGAAUUUCUGGUGUAGCGGUGAAAUGCGUAGAUAUCAGAAGGAACAUCAGUGGCGAAAGCGGCUUCCUGGUCCAGCACCGACGUUCAGGCACGAAAGCGUGGGGAGCAAACAGG